GUAGGGACCGAAUUUCUGACAAUGACUCUGGUUUUAUGUUUCCAACUGCUAACUUAGCUUCAUUAACCAGUGGCUGAACCUCCUUCAGUUCGUCCUCAAUUUUUCUUUUUCUUUCUUCUAUUUCUGCAGCUUCUUCUGCUAUUCGUUGUUUUAUUUUUUCCAUUUCUGCUUUUUGCUCACUAGCAUUCUGCAUAGAUAUUGUAAUUUCCUGAAGGGCAGCAUCAGCUUCAUCCUGCUUCGUUUUGAGUAAAAUACUUUGUUCUCCAGCUUUUUUGUU
rnacentral:lncRNA from 1 species